AUUGAACGCUGGCGGCAGGCCUAACACAUGCAAGUCGAGCGGAAGAAGGGUACUUGCUUCUGGAUUCAGCUGCCGACGGGUGAGUGAUGCCUAGGAAUCUGCGUGGUUGUGGGUGAUAAGGUCCGGAAACGGGCGCUAAUACCGCAUACGUCCAGAGGGACUAAGGGGGGGAGCUUCGGACCUCACGCUCUCAGAUGAGCCUAGGUCGGAUUAGCUAGUUGGUGGGGUAAAGGCCUACCAAGGCGACGAUCCGUAGCUGGUCUGAGAGGAUGAUCAGUCGCACUGGAACUGAGACACGGUCCAGACUCCUACGGGAGGCAGCAGUGGGGAAUAUUGGACAAUGGGCGAAAGCCUGAUCCAGCCAUGCCGCGUGUGUGAAGAAGGUCUUCGGGUUGUAAAGCACUUUUGGUUGGGAAGAAAGGCAGUAAGUUAAUACCUCGCUGUUUUGACGGUACCAACAGAAUAAGCACCGGCUAACUUCGUG
rnacentral:rRNA from 1 species